CGAGCACGCGCGUGUGGCAUAUCAAUAAGCGGAGGAAAAGAAACUAACAAGGAUUCCCUUCAGUAACGGCGAGUGAAGCGGGAAGAGCUCAAAUUUGAAAUCUUCAAGGUUCUACCUUGACGAAUUGUAGUUUAUAGAAGUGUUUUCUGUUAGUGGAGUGGCAAAAGUUCUUUGGAAUAGGACAUCAUAGAGGGUGAGAAUCCCGUAUUUGGUCAUUCCUCCUAGCGUUGUGAUACACUUUCAACGAGUCGGAUUGUUUGGGAAUGCAGUCCAAAAUGGGUGGUAAAUUUCAUCUAAAGCUAAAUAUUGGCGAGAGACCAAUAGCGAACAAGUACCGUGAGGGAAAGAUGAAAAGAACUUUGAAAAGAGAGUUAAACAGUACGUGAAAUUGUCAAAAGGGAAGCGUUUGACACCAGUGUUGUUUUUCCGAAAAUCAAUUACUGAAUGGUUUGAUUUUGAGGAGUUAUGACCUUCAAUCGCUUGCUCCUUUCUUUUACUGAUCUUUCGUAAUGCACUUUUCGGUUAACAAGUCAACAUCAAUUUCUUUUGUUGUAAAAGGGUAUGAGGAAGGUGGCUUUCUUUUCGGAGAAAGUGUUUAUAGCCUUGUGCCUCUGCAAUCGGAGAGAUUGAGGUCUGCAGCGUAGAUCCUUCGGGGUUAGAUACGUUUGUGCUAAGUUAUAGCUUUUCAUAGACAACUUGUUGACUAUGUUUAGUCUUGUAGCUUACUCGCUGACGCUAUUUUACCUACGCUUAGGAUGUUGAGUCAUCACACAUCUCU
rnacentral:rRNA from 1 species